rnacentral:rRNA from 1 species
GACGAACGCUGGCGGCGUGCUUAACACAUGCAAGUCGUACGGUAAGGCCCUUUCGGGGGUACACGAGUGGCGAACGGGUGAGUAACACGUGAGUAACCUGCCCACAACUUUGGGAUAACGCUAGGAAACUGGUGCUAAUACUGGAUAUGUGCUCCUGCUGCAUGGUGGGGGUUGGAAAGCUCCGGCGGUUGUGGAUGGACUCGCGGCCUAUCAGCUUGUUGGUGGGGUAGUGGCCUACCAAGGCGGCGACGGGUAGCCGGCCUGAGCGGGUGACCGGCCACAUUGGGACUGAGGUACGGCCCAGCCUCCUACGGGGGGCAGCAGUGGGGAAUAUUGCCCAAUGGGCGCCAGCCUGAUGCAGCAACGCCGCGUGCGGGAUGACGGCCUUCGGGUUGUAAACCGCUUUCAGCAGGGACGAAGCUUUUUGUGACGGUACCUGCAGAAGAAGCACCGGCUAACUACGUG